UCUGGUUUAGAUCUUCGUUACAGCAAGCAAAUCGGAGUCAGGUAGUUGGAAGGAUUUCCAGUUUGAGGUUGGUCUCUAUUGGCAAGGUGAAGAAUGUCAACUUCCCAUCUCUGCGGACCUCCUGAUUCUAGAUCUGUUGUGUGGCCAAAAAGGAGACAGUUGACAAAGUCUGUGAGAUUGUGAGGAAAUAACUAUGCUUGCCUGCCGAGAUAAGUUUUUUUUUUUUUUUUAAGAAGAAAAGGUCAUGAAAAUUAUGUCUCAUGAAAAUUAUGCAUAUAUACCCACUUUGUGAAGAGAAUGGAGAUCUCAUGAACUCUUAUUGGCUGAAGAUAUGGGACCCAAUCCUUAAAUGAUGGGACCCAUUGGUUACUGCACAAGUCCUAAACCUAGAAACGGGUGGUUUUAAUUGUUUUGUCAGUCCUCAACUCUUCAACGUAGUAUUUUUGUUACAUUGCAUUGUUAUUUAUCAUUUUCGUAUGUAUGUUACCCAUGUUAAAAUUUGAAACUUUCAGAUUAUAUGACUUAAUUGUUGAAAUUUUAUACAUCAGUACUAUCGAACAUUGCCAAAAUGACGAGGGGAAUAUCAUGAGACUAGUGAUCACAUUGGGAGAGGUUUUGUUAUAUUUUCUGUUAUUCCUUGUAAUGGGGAUCCUGAUACCCUUUUAUAAACUUCAAUCCACAACCCCAACAGUCAAUCAUCAACUCUCCCAAGGUGCAAUGGUCUUCAUUUGGGAAAUGUUAAUUCACUUCACAAUCUCAUAAGCUCAGUUGGCCACUCAGAACAGAGGCCAUUGCUGCACAAGAGCUAGAAUAUACAAACAUCAGGUAUUCAAACAUUCCACUAUUUUAACCUUAACUUGUAGCUGACUGUAGUUUGGAUCACAGCUUAGAUUAUUAUCAGAUUACACAGGUAGUUUAUAGCAGAGUUGUCAGAGGGUCUGAUGUAACGUGUCACAAAUACGUUCCUAGCAUGGUUGGGCCAAAAGAAAGUCUCUGUAUGUUUUGUUCUUACUCUAUGUUAUUUGACUAUUCAUGUAUUAUCUUGAUUGUUUUUUGAAAGUUUUGAGUUUGUUGUUUAUUCCAUGCAGGAACCUGCAUCAGAGAUACAGGACAAGAUUUUAUUUAUGAUUAAUAAUAUUUCAUCUUUAAAUAUGGAUGUGAAAGCAAAAUAAUUUAGUGAUUUCCUGCGAGAGCGGUACUAUCCAUGAUUUGCUCAGUAUAUGGUGAUGAAAAGGACCAUCAGAAUGUGAGAUUACUGUGGCAUGACUUGAAGAAAGGUGAUUUCUAUCAUCUAAUGGCAACUCCAAAGUCCUUACACUUAUCAUCUAGGUCUUGCCAUCCAAUAAUAUGUUGGCCCCUAUCUUUAUGGAGACAACAACACAAGGCUCUUCACUUAUUGGACUGUAAGUUUAUACUUCUUUCAUUUUUAAAAAUCUUUUAUUACCCUUUAUUAUGAUUCAUGUUUCCUUUACGAGUGAUGAGCUCUCUCAAAUGACAUGGGUUAUUUGUAUUUUAUUUGUUUCUAUUGGAAGUUAGGUCUCAAGUAACAUGGAUUUUUUGUGUCUCUCAUUUUCUUUUUUGCUCCCUUUUCUUCACUCCCUGUAGUAACAUGUGCAUGUACUCCUUUUCUCCUUUUUAGAGGUUUUGACUACUCAUUUUCCUUUCUAUUAUGCAACUAUAACACCAAUCGGCUUUUCCACGGUCACAAUUCCAUUUUCUAAACCUUGCUAUGUUAAAUUUUUUCCUUCAAAUCAGUUAGUG